AGCGAACGCUGGCGGCGUGCCUAACACAUGCAAGUCGAACGUGAAAGGGAGCAAUCCCAAGUAAAGUGGCGUACGGGUGAGUAACACGUAGGUAAUCUACCCCAGAAUCUGGAAUAACCGGCCGAAAGGCUGGCUAAUACUGGAUAGAGCGACGGAAUCCGUAAUUGGGUUUUUCGGGAAAGGGAGCCUGGAAAAAGGCCUUCGUUCUGGGAUGAGCCUGCGUCCCAUCAGCUAGUUGGUGAGGUAAAAGCUUACCAAGGCAAUGACGGGUAGCUGGUCUGCGAGGACGGUCAGCCACACUGGGACUGAGACACGGUCCAGACUCCUACAGGAGGCAGCAGUGGGGAAUCUUGCGCAAUGGGCGAAAGACUGACGCAGCAACGCCGCGUGAGUGAAGAAGGCCUCCGGGUUGUAAAGCUCUGUCGAGUGGGAAGAAAAUGCUUGGAGUUCACAGCUCCAGGAACUGACGGUAACACUAAAGGAAGCACCGGCUAACUCCGUG
rnacentral:rRNA from 1 species